GUGUAGUGAUGCUGUAGAAUUUCUUCACCUGAGAACAUUUUGAAGAAAAUUUUCACACUUAACUGAACACA